CUCGCCCCCAGAGAACACGCACCCUCCCCCAACCCAGGAGCCGCCUGGUUCCUCCUCCGCAGAACCCCGCCUCCACUCACUCCUCCUCCGCCUCCAGCGCCACCUCGUAUCUCCUCAAUCCCGACAUGUCCUGGGCUCCGAACGUCUCCUGCGGAGCAGCAUGAUUGAAUCAAGGGUUCCCCAACCCCAGGUCCCCUUCUCCGUCAUUCUCAGGACGAGUCUGACUAGCUCUCAGGACAAAGUCCCUUUGCAGCAGAAAGCACCAAAAAUGUUCCCAGGAAUUGGGUAUUAGUUUGCUAAGAGGCAGAGUUCUCAGAGUCCUCAGAGUCACUGGCAUCACUCAGAGCUGGAGGGCACUAUUUUCUUCCUCUGGGAAACCCAGGCUAGAUGAGACUGAGCCUAUAGAGAGAAGAGCAGCCAGAGGCUCCAGGACCCAUCCAGGCACUGAUACGUAAAGGAACACCUGGGGCACAGGCAUAUGUGCAUCACACAGGUGCACCCACAGGACACAGGCAUACCCGCACCACUCAGGCACACACAGAUGGCAUAGGAAUACACACAAUGCACAUGUAUACCCAUGUCAUACAAGGACAUACAGUCACCACAAGGGCACACCCAUUUGGCACAUGUACAGUCUCAGGUUCAUACUCAGACCUGGAUGUUGACAUGAACUCACAGUCUCCUUCACAGACUCCCCAGACCUGUGCACCGAUCCCUGCUAUGCCCCUCACCUUACUGUUUAGCCCCUGCCCCAUUUUACCUCCUCUUGGCAAGAAGAUCAAUGUGCUGGAAGAUGAGUGGUGCCAUGCUGGAGGCCAUGGAGGAUGAACAGAGAUGGAGACAUGGACAGAGUCCCGGGAGCAGGAGUCCUGUGUGAGACUGUGUGAGUACAGCAAGCAGGAGGAUGAUCGUGAGGGUGAGGGAGUCCUUGGAAGCCUGUGAGGGUCCUGUGAGUGCGUGUGGGAGCUUGUGGGAGGCUGUGGCUGUCUCCUGUUUAUGGUCCACUAAAGCUUUCAUUUUCAACAGUCAGAAAUAUCCUCCCUUCUGGUGUAUAAUAAAGAAUUUGACUGGCCUUUGU